UUCUUUUUGCUUCAUGGUGCUAUGAGGAUUAUGCAGAGCUUGCCAGCCAACCAAGUGGCCAAUCUCUUAAACCCCCUGAGAACACCUUGGAGCACUCAAGUAGAUCUGGUCCAAGAUAGACUCAUGGUGAGUUGAAAUUUCAUGAAGAGAGCUUCACUGAGAAGUAAUCCAUACUCAGAGAUGCAAACACUGUAUUUUCUCUCAUUUAUGGAUGUUAGCUUCAAACUUUCAGCUGCUGUGGGAAGAGAAUGCCACCAGCGGACCCACCUGCUAUUAUCAGGGAAUGGGAUGACCCUUAAUCCAGCCCAGUGGAAGGCAGCUGCUCCUGCUAGAUGGAGAGGCUUCAAUGAGAAAUGCCACGUCAGGCCAGGCAGGAACUAUAAUGAU